GAUAUUCAGGAUCAUCCGAUAAAAUUAAAACGAUACAGAGAAUAUUAGAAUGACCCAUACACAAGAAAAACAUGCAUAUAUUGAGAAAUGAUCCUUAAUAUU
rfam:Musa acuminata subsp. malaccensis Doubled-haploid Pahang (DH-Pahang) genomic chromosome, chr5